UCGUAGUCCCUCGGGGAAUUUUGAGCCGUCCGAUGCUUGGUUGCCGCUCGGAUUGUUUGCUUUCUUUCCUUGCGAGACUUUGUUUCCACGCGAGAUCAACGCCGCCGCUCAGAAAUCUCGGCCUCCCGAUCAAGCGCUCGCCGCUCGCAAAAAUCUCGUGCGUGACUUCCUUCCUGAAUCUUGAUGUUACGCUCCUUCGUCCGAUCAUCGCCUCUGCGUCCCCGCCCUAAGCUUUCCGAAACAACUCCGCUGGGAUCGGCGGGCAGAUCGAGGGUUUUGGUUCGAGCGCUGCAUCCCUUCGCAGGCAGACUGGUGUCGUACGUCCUCGGUGCUGUGAUCGGCAACCUCGACGAGCAGUUGCGGUAUUCGUCUCCCACACACCUCAGUUGGCUGUGCGUCGUCGGUCGUCGACCAGUUGCGGGGGCACCGGCUGCCGCGCCCCCGCUCGUGUCGUCGACGAACGUGGUUGCCGAUUCGUGACGGAGCUAGGGGAGUUCCUGCCGGGCGCCGCACGCGGUUGUCGUCGUCGCAGCUCGCUAACGGGCAUCAGUCUUUUCUUGCAAUUCCCAGGUACGAAUCUGGUCGCCGCCGAUAAUACUCGCAUAACACUGAUCGAUGCGCUAGACCAUAAAGCAGGACUGACGGGGAGGGCUCUGUCCAUCUUCCUUCCACAGCGCAUUGGGGGGGCUCAUCCCAGGUUUGUUGCUUUGGCAAAUGUAGCAUUUUAAUUGCGAACUGGUAUUGACUCCAUGAAUCAUAUCUCUGUUAUCUUGGUGUGCAACUAAUAUGAUUGCAGGUUAUGAUAUAUGCUGUUCGACGGUCGACCCUUGCCCCGUCCCACCCAAUUCUCAUUUUUUUAGUAUUAAUUAAUCACUUCUAUUUGAGAAGUCAGUCGUGUCAUAAGGCUGCUUUCUUUAACCUAGACUAGAGGCUGCAUUUGUGUAUCAUGACUGAAUGCCUGCUUUCUCAUAGUCACUGUUGCUACAAUGCAAAUAUAAUUUGGGAGAAUUCCUUUGGAUUAGUAGUUGAUGAUGAGUGUACUGCUUCUGGCAUUGCUCCAUCUGUCUUGUUAUUCAAUUGGAUUUGUGGGUGGGUUGACCAAGGUUGCCAUUGUGCUGUUGGGAACAAUUCCUAAUUCGAACCCAUGGUGGCCAUGAUUAGUUUGCUGCUACUGCUGCUUGGAAUUAUAUAUUGGGCUCUCAUAUACCAAAUUCAAGAUGAGAAGUAGUUGUAGCUAAAAUCUUCAGUUUGUUCAGUUAAUCUUUGAUUUCAUGACCAACAUGGUUAUUGUUCACAUAAUCUUGGCUCUACCUUGCUCUGGGAAUUAUCUUGCUUGCUGUCUCACAUCUGAUUCAUGUGGACUUGUUUGAGUUUGUUCCUUUGGCAAAUUUAGCAUUUUUGUUGCAUUGGGAAUCAUAUCUCGGGUACCUUGAUGUGCAACUAAUUUGCUUGCAGGUUGUGAUACAUGGAGUCAAAUGAUAUAAGUUGUGGCAGGGUGCCAUUUGGGGACGUUACAUAUACUUUGGGCAUCAACAUGUACGUUGAGAGUUAAAGAUAGAGGGAUAGGGAACGCUCGAAAGCCAUGACAGCAGAACAAUGGGAUGCUCGGAGCGCAUAUGAAAGGAAAAAGCAACAAAAUACCAAUCCAACUCAUUGAUUUGGAAAUUAUCCCCCUGGUAUUGUUGCCACUGCAUCAUUUGUAGUAUAUACACAUAUCCCAGUUCUAUUUUUUGACUAGCGUAUUUACAUA